rnacentral:rRNA from 1 species
CCUACGGGCGGCAGCAGUAGGGAAUAUUGCUCAAUGGGGGAAACCCUGAAGCAGCAACGCCGCGUGGAGGAUGAAGGUUUUCGGAUUGUAAACUCCUUUUGUUAGAGAAGAUAAUGACGGUAUCUAACGAAUAAGCACCGGCUAACUCCGUGCCAGCAGCCGCGGGAAUACGGAGGGUGCAAGCGUUACUCGGAAUCACUGGGCGUAAAGAGCGCGUAGGCGGGAUAGCAAGUCAGAUGUGAAAUCCUAUGGCUUAACCAUAGAACUGCAUUUGAAACUGUUAUUCUAGAGUAUGGGAGAGGUAGGUGGAAUUCUUGGUGUAGGGGUAAAAUCCGUAGAGAUCAAGAGGAAUACUCAUUGCGAAGGCGACCUGCUAGAACAUAACUGACGCUGAUGCGCGAAAGCGUGGGGAGCAAACAUGAUUAGAUACCCGGGUAGUC